UGCCUACGGGACGCAGCAGUGAGGAAUAUUGGUCAAUGGGCGGAAGCCUGAACCAGCCAAGUCGCGUGAGGGAUGAAGGUCUUCGGGUCGUAAACCUCUGUCAGCAGGGAAGAACGGUCACUGUGCUAAUCAGCAGUGAAUUGACGGUACCUGCAAAGGAAGCACCGGCUAACUCCGUGCCAGCAGCCGCGGUAAUACGGAGGGUGCGAGCGUUAAUCGGAAUUACUGGGCGUAAAGCGCUCGUAGGCGGUAUGUCAAGUCAAGGGUGAAAUCCCCGCGCUCAACGUGGGAACUGCCUUUGAAAC
rnacentral:rRNA from 1 species